UACGUAGGGGGCAAGCGUUGUCCGGAAUCAUUGGGCGUAAAGCGCGCGUAGGCGGCCCGAUAAGUCCGCUGUAAAAGUCCAGGGCUCAACCCUGGAAAGCCGGUGGAUACUGUCGGGCUCGAGUCCGGAAGAGGCGAGUGGAAUUCCUGGUGUAGCGGUGGAAUGCGCAGAUAUCAGGAAGAACACCAAUGGCGAAGGCAGCUCUCUGGGACGGUACUGACGCUGAGACGCGAAAGCGUGGGGAGCGAACAGG
rnacentral:rRNA from 1 species